GACGAACGCUGGCGGCGUGCUUAACACAUGCAAGUCGAACGGUGAAGCGCCUUCCUUUUUGGUGGGUGUGGAUGAGUGGCGAACGGGUGAGUAACACGUGAGUAACCUGCCCCCUUCUUCUGGAUAACCGCAUGAAAGUGUGGCUAAUACGGGAUAUUCUGGGUCUGUCGCAUGAUGGGUCUGGGAAAGAUAUUGUUUCGGUGGGGGAUGGGCUCGCGGCCUAUCAGCUUGUUGGUGGGGUGAUGGCCUACCAAGGCGGUGACGGGUAGCCGGCCUGAGAGGGUGGACGGUCACACUGGGACUGAGACACGGCCCAGACUCCUAAGGGAGGCAGCAGUGGGGAAUAUUGCACAAUGGGCGCAAGCCUGAUGCAGCGACGCCGCGUGAGGGAUGGAGGCCUUCGGGUUGUGAACCUCUUUCGCCAGUGAAGCAGGCCUGCCUCGUUUGUGGGUGGGUUGACGGUAGCUGGAUAAGAAGCGCCGGCUAACUACGUG
rnacentral:rRNA from 1 species